CAGCAGACACAUUCCAGCCAAUCAGCAGCAGACCCUCCCUCCCAGACCCUCCCACCUCCUGGACAGCUCACUAAGAAUGCAGCUUCACAAUGAAUGUAAAAAGGAUGCUGUUCAGGAGGUGGGAGGGUCUGGGAGGGAGGGUCAGCUGCUGAUUGGCUGGAAUGUGUCUGCUG
rnacentral:miRNA from 1 species